AUGCACGCUGGCGGCGUGCCUAAUACAUGCAAGUCGAGCGAACAGAUCAGGAGCUUGCUCCUUUGACGUUAGCGGCGGACGGGUGGGUAACACGUGGGUAACCUACCUAUAAGACUGGGAUAACUUCGGGAAACCGGAGCUAAUACCGGAUAACAUUUGGAACCGCAUGGUUCUAAAGUGAAAGAUGGUUUUGCUAUCACUUAUAGAUGGACCCGCGCCGUAUUAGCUAGUUGGUAAGGUAACGGCUUACCAAGGCAACGAUACGUAGCCGACCUGAGAGGGUGAUCGGCCACACUGGAACUGAGACACGGUCCAGACUCCUACGGGAGGCAGCAGUAGGGAAUCUUCCGCAAUGGGCGAAAGCCUGACGGAGCAACGCCGCGUGAGUGAUGAAGGGUUUCGGCUCGUAAAACUCUGUUAUUAGGGAAGAACAAAUGUGUAAGUAACUGUGCACGUCUUGACGGUACCUAAUCAGAAAGCCACGGCUAACUACGUG
rnacentral:rRNA from 1 species